rnacentral:tRNA from 1 species
UGGCUCAGUGGUUAAGAGCACUGACUGCUCUUCCAGAGGACCUGGGUUCGAUUCCCAG